UUAAGCUGGCAUAAUUAAAACAAUUUGCUUGAAGUCUGCUAAAGGUUGAGCCGCCCCUAUUAAUAACGAAAUGCCAUGAAGAAUGAAACAUGACACGAAAUCGGCAUUAUUGAACUCAUCGCGUUCUCUAGUUAAAUUAGCUCUAUCCUAUCCAGACUGUAGACGCCGUGGCUUUAAAGUCAAUUGUGAUGAGAAGAACUGUACAAGUGGGUGACUGACAUUAACAGGUCGCGCAUAUGGGGUCGCAAUUAGGGUAAUUUUUAAAAAUUUCUUUUGAGGUUUGGAUUUGUUGCAAGUAGAUAGUAAAAAUCUAUUUAUUUAUAAAAAAUCUCAUACCGUCAAUUAAUUUUAACAUUGACCGUUAGUUGACUGUGCAAAGACAAUAUUACCCUUAAUAAUAGUUUAUAGACUGACUAAAAAAAAUUAAAAUUAUUAACGCGAAAAGCACAAAUCUUAUUUUUUGAUAAUUUUAUCCUUGUCAAUUCCAAAGAUUUACAAUAUCAUAGGUAAAGAUUAUGACUAUUUCAUUUUCAAGUUUUUAAUUUUAUCUUUUUUGUAAGAACUUUAAGGAAAUAUCAAUAAUUUAAAGAUGAUUUUUUAAGUUUUUAAUUUUAUCUUUUUUAUAAGAACUUUAAGAAAAUAUCAAUAAUUUAAAAAGGGUAAAAUAACCAAUAAUUUUAGUUUUUUUUUAGUUAUUUUUGUCUGUAAACUAUUAUUAAGGGUAAUAUUAUCUUUGCACAGUUAACUAACGGUCAAUGUUAAAAUUAACUGAUGGUAAGAGAUUUUUUACAAAUAAAUAAAUUUUUACUAUCUACUUAUAGUAAGUCCAAAACUCAAAAGGAAGUUUUAAAAAUUACCCGUCGCAAUUAUCAUGACAGGGUGGCUUCAUCCCCAAUUCACGGCUUGGAUUGAAUCUUGCCUCUUAAAAUCAUCGCAUUGUAAAGACGACAUUUUCCGUACUACUAGUGUCCAAUAACAAGUGGUGACUAUGGGUCCAACACUGAUGAAAGAGUUACAGAGACAUUGUGCCAUGUUUUAAAACGAACAACUACUAGUUAUUAAUACGCGCGUAAAUCAAUUGGUAAAAGAUUAUUUUAAUUUAAUUAAA
rnacentral:lncRNA from 1 species